rnacentral:rRNA from 1 species
CUGUAAGCCUGUGAAGGUGUGUCGUGAGGCAUGCUGGAGGUAUCAGAAGUGCGAAUGCUGACAUAAGUAACGAUAAAGCGGGUGAAAAGCCCGCUCGCCGGAAGACCAAGGGUUCCUGUCCAACGUUAAUCGGGGCAGGGUGAGUCGACCCCUAAGGCGAGGCCGAAAGGCGUAGUCGAUGGGAAACGGGUUAAUAUUCCCGUACUUGGUGUUACUGCGAAGGGGGGACGGAGAAGGCUAUGUUGGCCGGGCGACGGUUGUCCCGGUUUAAGCGUGUAGGUGUGUGUUCCAGGUAAAUCCGGUUCACUUUAACACUGAGGCGUGAUGACGAGGCACUACGGUGCUGAAGCAACAAAUGCCCUGCUUCCAGGAAAAGCCUCUAAGCAUCAGGUAACAUCAAAUCGUACCCCAAACCGACACAGGUGGUCAGGUAGAGAAUACCAAGGCGCUUGAGAGAACUCGGGUGAAGGAACUAGGCAAAAUGGUGCCGUAACUUCGGGAGAAGGCACGCUGACAC